rnacentral:rRNA from 1 species
CCUACGGGUGGCAGCAGUGGGGAAUAUUGGACAAUGGGGGCAACCCUGAUCCGGCCAUGCCGCGUGUGUGAAGAAGGCCCUCGGGUUGUAAAGCACUUUCAGUGAGGAAGAACGCCUGGUGGUUAAUACCCAUCAGGAAAGACAUCACUCACAGAAGAAGCACCGGCUAACUCCGUGCCAGCAGCCGCGGUAAUACGGAGGGUGCGAGCGUUAAUCGGAAUUACUGGGCGUAAAGCGCGCGUAGGUGGCUUGAUAAGCCGGUUGUGAAAGCCCCGGGCUCAACCUGGGAACGGCAUCCGGAACUGUCAAGCUAGAGUGCAGGAGAGGAAGGUAGAAUUCCCGGUGUAGCGGUGAAAUGCGUAGAGAUCGGGAGGAAUACCAGUGGCGAAGGCGGCCUUCUGGACUGACACUGACACUGAGGUGCGAAAGCGUGGGUAGCAAACAGGAUUAGAUACCCUAGUAGUC